AACACGGGGAAACUUACCAGGACCAGAUGUUUUUUAUGACUGACAGGCUUCGGGUCUUUCAGGAUAUUGUUUUUGGUGGUGCAUGGCCGUUGGUGGUGCGUGGGUUGACCUGUCUAGCGUUGAUUCAGCUAACGAGCGAGAUUAUCGCCAAUUAUUUACUUUGCCGAAGUCCUUCGGUUAAAGUUCUAAUUGGGACUCCCUGCGAUUUUAGCAGGUGGAAGAGGGUAGCAAUAACAGGUCCGUGAUGCCCUUUAGAUGCUCUGGGCUGCACGCGUGCUACAAUGUUAGGAUCAAUAGGACUGCGAGCCUGAGAGGGUGCGCUACUCUUAUAAUCCCUAACGUAGUUGGGAUUGACGUUUGUAAUCAGCGUCAUGAACCAGGAAUCCCUUGUAAAUGUGUGUCAACAACGCACGUUGAAUACGUCCCUGCCCUUUGUACACACCGCCCGUCGCUCCUACCGAUUGGAUGACUCGGUGAAAUCACCGGAUGCUUACGAGCAGAAAGUGAUUAAAUCACGUUAUCUAGAGGAAGGAGAAGUCGUAACAAGGUAACGGUAGGUGAACCUGCCGUUGGAUCAGUU
rfam:Trichomonas vaginalis G3, whole genome shotgun sequence.